rnacentral:rRNA from 1 species
UACAGAGGGGGCGAGCGUUGUUCGGAAUUACUGGGCGUAAAGGGCGCGUAGGUGGCCUGUUAAGUCGAACGUGAAAUCCCCGGGCUCAACCCGGGAACUGCGUCCGAGACUGGCAGGCUCGAAUCCGGGAGGAGGGAUGUGGAAUUCCAGGUGUAGCGGUGAAAUGCGUAGAUAUCUGGAGGAACACCGGUGGCGAAGGCGGCAUCCUGGACCGGUAUUGACGCUGAGGCGCGAAAGCCAGGGGAGCA